ACUUCUAUAAAGGCCAGGUCUCCAAAUACAGUCACACGGGGAGCUAGGGCUUCAACCUAUGGCUUUUGGGGGAUACAGUUCAGUCCAUAGCAGUGGGGAAAGGAUGUGACUCAGUCUAGAGAGACUCAAGGAGGGAAUGCUUAGAUAGGAGCAUGGAGGGCGUGCCUGGUGAAGGGAACAGUAUGGCACAGCUUCAGAGGCAAGGGUGAGCCAGCAGCAAGGGGCUGGCUAUGGCCGGUACAAAAAGCAUGUGCUCGUGGGAAAUAGGCACCAAAGAAGGCCCAGAGAGGUUUAACAACUUCCUCAGAAUCACACAGCUUCCAAAUGGUUGGGUUGGGUUUACAUUUAGGCGGUCUUGCUCCAGAGCCAGUGCUCCUAACCUUUGCAAGCCACGAACCUCAAGAAAGUGGAGAAGGAAACGCUGGGAAAUCUGGAAGUCAGACAUGGCAAGUUUUUCUCACUGUAAGAAGAGGACAAUAGCCUAUGAUCUACAGUGCCCAUUCCAACUCAGAGAAUCUUUACAUCUGGAGAUCUAUAGCAGGGCUAUCCCUAGUGACAUGCGUGAAGAAGCUUGGAAAUGGUGCUGGGUAGGAGCUGAGUGUGCAGAAUGUGGAAAGGCAUUCUAAACCAAAGGAAGAACACGAGUAAAGAUGAUGAAGCAGGGAUAAGGCUAAAAUGAAAUUUGUGAUCUGAUCCACAUACAAGCACAGUGUAGUACAGCUGGAAUAUAGAGAAGAGCUUGAAGACUUAUGAGCAACUAUCCCGGUACUCUUGGAGGCUCUGCAACCACAGUUUGAGAAACUCCGCGUUCAAAGUUAAAAACUGUCACCUGAAUAGUUAAUAACAUCAAAGAUUGUGAAAGCAAGUAUAAAUAACACAGAGAUUAAAAUAAUGAGGCAGGAUCAGAAAGUCCUUGGAACAGGAGAAAGGGUUGGAAAACAAAGAUCACUUUUCUCUGGCCAAAUGGAAUCACCCAACAAAGUACCUUCCUGAUGGGCCAGCUAUUUCAGAUGAUGAAGGUUUAAGAAGCAGCAUCAUCAGCGAACUGUGUUUUGAAGAUUUGAGGGAAGGGCUGACCUCAGGAUUUUAUACUAGUUGCUGACCUCCAUAACAGCAGACAAAAUUGGAAGCAAGAGUGAUUUUGGAGGAGUCACACUUAGAUGUUUCCCUUACCUAUUUCUGUUCUGGAAAUUUAAAAAUCUUACUUCUCGUGACAGUCCUACAUGAAAAAUUAAAAAUCACAAGGAUUCAUGGAUGGAAAACUGAGACUCAGAGAAUGAUCACAUUCACAUCGUAAUAAAUCAGCAAUAGAGUGAGUGAUUGUUCCUUGGUAAGAAAUCAACUCUAAACUCAGUUGGAAACCUUUGCCAAUAUUACUUAACACAUGACAAUCUGGUGUGACUCAUUUUUCUUGACAUUAUGCAAAUAAAGGAAACAAGACUGAGUGGCCUUCUGUCCGGA
rnacentral:lncRNA from 1 species